rnacentral:rRNA from 1 species
UACGUAGGGUGCAAGCGUUGUCCGGAAUUAUUGGGCGUAAAGAGCUCGUAGGCGGUCUGUCGCGUCGGAUGUGAAAAUCCGGGGCUCAACCCUGGACCUGCAUUCGAUACGGGCAGACUAGAGUUCGGUAGGGGAGACUGGAAUUCCUGGUGUAGCGGUGAAAUGCGCAGAUAUCAGGAGGAACACCGAUGGCGAAGGCAGGUCACUGGGCCGCAACUGACGCUGAGGAGCGAAAGCAUGGGGAGCGAACAGG